ACGCUGGCGGCAGGCCUAACACAUGCAAGUCGAGCGGUAGAGAGAAGCUUGCUUCUCUUGAGAGCGGCGGACGGGUGAGUAAUGCCUAGGAAUCUGCCUGGUAGUGGGGGAUAACGCUCGGAAACGGACGCUAAUACCGCAUACGUCCUACGGGAGAAAGCAGGGGACCUUCGGGCCUUGCGCUAUCAGAUGAGCCUAGGUCGGAUUAGCUAGUUGGUGAGGUAAUGGCUCACCAAGGCGACGAUCCGUAACUGGUCUGAGAGGAUGAUCAGUCACACUGGAACUGAGACACGGUCCAGACUCCUACGGGAGGCAGCAGUGGGGAAUAUUGGACAAUGGGCGAAAGCCUGAUCCAGCCAUGCCGCGUGUGUGAAGAAGGUCUUCGGAUUGUAAAGCACUUUAAGUUGGGAGGAAGGGCAGUAAAUUAAUACUUUGCUGUUUUGACGUUACCGACAAAAUAAGCACCGGCUAACUCUGUGCCAGCAGCCGCGGUAAUACAGAGGGUGCAAGCGUUAAUCGGAAUUACUGGGCGUAAAGCGCGCGUAGGUGGUUCGUUAAGUUGGAUGUGAAAUCCCCGGGCUCAACCUGGGAACUGCAUUCAAAACUGUCGAGCUAGAGUAUGGUAGAGGGUGGUGGAAUUUCCUGUGUAGCGGUGAAAUGCGUAGAUAUAGGAAGGAACACCAGUGGCGAAGGCGACCACCUGGACUGAUACUGACACUGAGGUGCGAAAGCGUGGGGAGCAAAC
rnacentral:rRNA from 1 species